rnacentral:rRNA from 1 species
GUAUAAGAGACAGCAGCAGCCACGGUAAUACGAAGGGGGCUAGCGUUGUUCGGAAUUACUGGGCGUAAAGCGCACGUAGGCGGAUACUUAAGUUAGGGGUGAAAUCCCAGGGCUCAACCCUGGAACUGCCUUUAAUACUGGGUAUCUAGAGUAUGGUAGAGGUGAGUGGAAUUCCGAGUGUAGAGGUGAAAUUCGUAGAUAUUCGGAGGAACACCAGUGGCGAAGGCGGCUCACUGGACCAUUACUGACGCUGAGGUGCGAAAGCGUGGGGAGCAAACAGGAUUAGAUACCCCCGUAGUCCCUGUCUCUUAUAC